rnacentral:rRNA from 2 species
GACUGUCAGCAACGGAUAUCUCAGCUCUCGCAUCGAUGAAGAACGUAGCAAAAUGCGAUACUUGGUGUGAAUUGCAGAAUCCCGUGAACCAUCGAGUCUUUGAACGCAAGUUGCGCCCCAAGCCUUCUGGCCGAGGGCACGUCUGCCUGGGUGUCA